AUACGGGGGGUGCAAGCGUUAAUCGGAAUUACUGGGCGUAAAGCGCGCGUAGGCGGUUUGCUCAGUCGGAUGUGAAAGCCCAGGGCUCAACCUCGGAACUGCAUACGAUACUGGCAAACUAGAGUGUGAGAGAGGAUAGUGGAAUUUCCGGUGUAGCGGUGAAAUGCGUAGAUAUCGGAAGGAACAUCAGUGGCGAAGGCGACUGUCUGGCUCAACACUGACGCUGAGGUGCGAAAGCGUGGGUAGCAAACAGGAUUAGAUACCCUAGUAGUCC
rnacentral:rRNA from 1 species